AAAACAAAGUUGAUACCAAUUGUAAAAAUAAAUAAAUAAAUAGAAGUGAAUAAACAACCUUUUCCACCCAUCCAUCCUUGUGCUCCACAAUAUAUGGAUUGUUAAGCUUCGCAAUCAAAUUCAUCU